AUCCCUGUGGCUCAGUUGGUAGAGCAUGGUGUUUGCAAUGCUAGCAUGGUGUGUGCAACGCCAGAGUUGUGGGUUCGAUUCCCACGGGGGGCC
rfam:Salmo salar isolate Sally breed double haploid chromosome ssa12, whole genome shotgun sequence.